rnacentral:rRNA from 1 species
AUUGAACGCUGGCGGCAGACCUAACACAUGCAAGUCGAGCGGAUGAAGGGAGCUCGCUCCUGGAUUCAGCGGCGGACGGGUGAGUAAUGCCUAGGAAUCUGCCUGGUAGUGGGGGAUAACGUCCGGUAACGGGCGCUAAUACCGCAUACGUCCUGAGGGAGAAAGUGGGGGAUCUUCGGACCUCACGCUAUCAGAUGAGACUAGGUCGGAUUAGCUAGUUGGUGGGGUAAAGGCCUACCAAGGCGACGAUCCGUAACUGGUCUGAGAGGAUGAUCAGUCACACUGGAACUGAGACACGGUCCAGACUCCUACGGGAGGCAGCAGUGGGGAAUAUUGGGCAAUGGGCGAAAGCCUGAUCCAGCCAUGCCGCGUGUGUGAAGAAGGUCUUCGGAUUGUAAAGCACUUUAAGUUGGGAGGAAGGACAGUAAGUUAAUACCUUGCUGUUUUGACGUUACCAACAGAAUAAGCACCGGCUAACUUCGUG